CUCCGGAGGCGCGUCGCUGCAUGACUGUCCCCUGGGCAAGGAGCCGCCGCUUAAGAACGUGAGGAGGCCCCCCAGCAUGGGAGCUGAUGCUCUCGAGGCAGGACGGUUCCGCGCGCAGCCAGCCACCUACGCUUCAGCCUUCCCUUUUGGUCCAGCUAGAUGGUUUUCAAGAGCGUAGAACUACCGCAGAGAAUCGUAUGCUGGCUUUGGAUCCCUCCCCUACGAUGUGACUGGGCAGCUCUGAAUACUCACACUUAUAACUAGUACCAGUCAAUGCGCUUGAUUGAACACCUGUUUGUCAGACCCUGUCGUAGCUGCUCGGUGGCCUCUGUCUCUUAAUUCUGCCUAUUCAGCAAAUAGUCCUGAGCACCAGGCACUGUACCUGGGCGUCCACAGGAGGCCUGAUCUUGUGAAGAUUAAAUGAAAAGCCCUUAGAAGAGUGCAUGGUACGUGGCAGCACUCAAUAAACGCUAAUUGUCAGCAGGACUCAACAGCACUCCAGAAACACCAGAAAAAGGCCUUCAGAGCCUCCUGGUUUCCCCUCCCUUUGAGCAUCGGUCCACAGGCCUGGGGACCUGGUAGGGAUGGGGGCCCUGGUGCUGGGCACCCACAGCUGAGGUGAGGUUGCCUACAAUUCCUCUUCCAGCGUUCCUCAUCGGAACUCCCUGCAAUGAGGUUUUCUCCGCUCCACUCCAAAUAAAUGGCUUUUUGCAGUUACCAGUGAUUUCUGUGUUGCCAAAUCCAAUGCUUAAUUCUCAGUCUACGACCGCACCAGACCUAUGAGCAGGAGUUCGCACAAAUGGUCAAUCUCUUCUCUUUGAGGCACUUUCCCUUUUGGACUCCAGGACCCAGCUCUCUUGCUGGCUCUGCUCCCUCACUGACCACUUUUUCCUGUCUCCUUUAUUUAUUUUCCCCGAGUCUCUAAAUGCUUUUCCCUUUUCUAUCUGGAUUUACUGCCUAGGUGAUCCCACUCAGACCAGGCCUUUAUAUACUAUCUGUACACUGAUAAGACUCAAAUUUACAUCUCUAGCCUGGACCUCUGCUCUCAAUGCCAGGCUCAUAUAUCCAUUUGGCUACUCGGCAUCUCUAUUUGGGUAUCUAAGAGGUCUCUUAAAUGCAUGUCUAAAACUCAACCUCAUUUCUCCCUGCAGUCUGCUCUUCCUGAGUCUUUCCAAGCACAGGAAAUUUGACCUCCGUUCUUCUAGCCAAAAAUCGUAGUGUCAUCUCCGAUUCAUUUUCUGUCAUACUUUAUCAUCCAAUCCAUCAAUAAAUCAUGUUGCAACUACCUUCAAAAUAUCCAGAACAGGGGCAGGCCUCACUUCCUCCACUGCUGCCACCCAAGUCUAAGCCGUCACCAUCUCUCCCUGAACUGCUGCCGGAGGCUCCUCAUUGGUUUGAGUCUCCUCUCUCACCUCCUCAAAGCAGCCAUAAUUCAAACACCACACCCUAGCUCAAAACCCUCCAACAGCUGCUCACCUCACUCAGGGGAAAUCCCUGCCUACCAGUGCUCAAGGUGCUUUCUGAUCCAGCCCCACCUACCUGACCUACCCUCUUCCACCCCACUCCCGUCACUCUACCCACUCCACGCAGGGAUGCUGGAGGACAAAAAUUGCUUUUAGUUCUGCUAUAAUGGUCUAACUCCAAUUUCCCCUUGACUUGUCCCUUCCUUUCAUCUGAUUAUUUGCUUAAACGUUCCUUUGUCAGAGAGGCUGCCUCUCCAUCCACAUUCUCUCUCCCUUUUCCUGCUUUUGCAUUUCUCAGCACCUGUCGCCACAUGAAAUAUUUAGGUAUCUCUUCUGACAAAAAGAGAGAGUAAAUGAGGUAGGGGCUUUGUUGUUCAUGGCUGUGUCUUCAGUGUUUAGGCCCAUAGCCUGUAUGUAGUGGGGGGGUUUAAUAAAACUUGUUAAGGGACAAAUAAAUGACGUAGCUGAGAGAAUGGAGCUCAGGCCAAGAGCACCUUCUUUGCUUUGGUGCCCCGCAAAUAGUCUCCACAAGGAGAACACACUGCUGACAAGAUGGUGGUGAUUUCACAUCAGAAACAGAAUGUGUGGAAGAAGAACUGAUAAUUAAAGGCUGCGGUUCCUAGGGAUGGUAUAAGAAUCACCUGGAACACUUAAAAAUACAGAGGCCCAAGUCUAACCACUGAAGGAUCUCAGUUAGGAAGGGAAGGCGGGGCAGGGCAGCUGUAUUUUCAAGGGUUCCCCGAGUGAUUCUGAUGUCGGAUCCCUGUUAAAACCAGUUAUUCAAAGGAAGCGUCUCAAAGGGCAUGUGGUAAACAACUAUGCAGUAAAUAAAACAACACACAUUUGUUUUUUUUAAACC